GUUUGGUUUCAGCAUGACACUGUGUGAAAAAGGAUGACUCCUUUACCUCAGAAAACCUCCCUUCCCAGCGCUGUCAUCCAGCGUGCAUAGCUGGUGCAUGCCGGUGGAAGUUGCUUUUACUGGAGUCCUGAGAAUAUAGCUCAGGCCCCCCUCCCCGCUGUACUGGGACUUUAUGGAGCUGCAGGCUAAUCACAGCGAGCUGCCCAUCCUGUUUCCAGUCCUCACAGUGACGUUCACCAUCGAGGGAGGGCUUGGCAAGGUUGCAGAGGCAAGAGAGGUCUGCAUUUUCACAGCACUCCCUCCCCUCACCCUGCAGCAGGUCAGACAAGGUUGUGGCUCCCUGAUGACUCUGGUUCAUGGGUGAGCUAGGCAGCGUUUAAUGAGAGUAACUUAACCCUUUUAUCACACCAAGUGCUGAAAUGACAAAUGAGCAGCAGAGGAAAGAAGGCAGUGGGUUAGGACUCAUUUCACUUAAAUUUAUUUAUUUUGCUAUUUUAGCAAAGUUGUAUGGAAAUUGCUUGUUUAUGAGCAGAUGACAUGAAAAAGCAGUAAAAAGCCAGAA